GAUGAACGCUAGCUACAGGCUUAACACAUGCAAGUCGAGGGACCGGCGCACGGGUGAGUCACACGUAUCCAACCUGCCCUUUACUCGGGGAUAGCCUUUCGAAAGAAAGAUUAAUACUCGAUGUAAAGGAUGGGGAUGAGUACCAUUAGGUUGUUGGUGAGGUAACGGCUCACCAAGCCUUCGAUGGAUAGGGGUUCGGUGAGGAAGCUCCCCCAGAUUGGAACUGGGACCAGACCCACACUCCUACUGGAGGCAGCCGUGUGUAAUAUUGGUACAUGAGCGUUAGCCUGAACCGGCCAAGUAGCGUGAAGGGUGUAGGCUUAUUUGUCGUAAACUUCUUUUAGAUAAGAAUAUGUAUUAUAUGAGAAAGGAUCGGCUAACUACGUGCCAGCAGCCGCGGUAAUAC
rnacentral:rRNA from 1 species